ensembl:lncRNA
CCGCCUCCACCGUCUGGUUCGCGCGGGUGAACCGCGGCACGUUGUCGUUCCUGUCCGACACUUCGACCCGGACGGCGGCCGGUCGCCCGCGACACCGCGGCGGAAGCUCGACCGUCAGCUCGUACAUCGCUAUGAACUCCCGGUCCAGCGCUCUGGCGGAGACCAGCCCCAGAUGCCCCAGAUGCCCCAGAUGCCCCGGGCGGUCCCCGCGGUGGCGAAUGAGCCUAAAGUCCGACGCGUAUUCCCCCGUCAGGCUGGCGUUGAGGUCCGCGCCGGGGCAGCCUCCGGCCCCGUCCGGUAGCAGCACCCCCUGCACCGGCGUCCCGGCCGGGGAGUUCUCGGCUAUUUGUCCGUAGUAGCGCGCUGGACGCCGCGGCCGCGCGGACAGAGACUCCGCGGGGGCGUGAAGCAGCAGCAGGAGGUGGAGCAGGAGAACCGGUCCGGGUUCCGCUCCGGUCAUGUUUCCAUCCAAGCUGUGGUCAGCAGCAGGAGCGGGUCUCCAACAAGGGUUCAAGGCCGAGGAAUCCACGCGUAAAAAGCCAAUUAGCUGCUGGAGCGAUUUAGAAGGAAUCUAAUUAACUAAAUCCGUUUGGAUGCGUUAGAUCCGCACUGCUCCAGAUGUUCUUCUCCUUUUCUCCUCCGGUUCCACCGAUCAAUAAACGCACAGAAGCGCUGAUGAGAGAUCAGAUCUUCUCCACAGUUGAGUUGAGAUGUUUUCUGCAGCGCGUUUCUGAGCGGACUGACGCGCGCUGAGGACCCCUGCGGACUCCGUGUGGCCCCGCGGGCUCCGCCCACCGCAGAGGAAACAGACCAAUCGGGUAGCAGCCAUGGGUCUGAGUGACAGGACGGAAAGACCCGCCCACUGCCAAGCUUAGUCCGCUGAUGGAGAGAGAGGUCGAGGGGUCAGAAGGUCACUGGUAUGAUGGAAGUUGCCAGUCUUUCGUCUGCACCAGGAGGUCCUCCUCAAUCUGAGUCGUGUUUGUGAAGGAAGUAUCUCAGAAGAGCUCCUCUGGGCUCCUUCUUCUGAAGGGUGGAGUUCCACGUCAGUGUCAAGUUCUCUUAACACCAACACUGUCGUCUCCUCGCACCUCGUAAACUCUCCUUGUGAACUCUCCUUACCACCUUUCCUCGGCCCCUGCAAGGUUUCCCACAGAGGUUGAGGAGAAGUGGAGAAGUUAGGAAAGGAGUGUGGCCUCAAAGAAUGAAAGAAAGAAAGAAAGGACCUCUAAAUGAGUGGCUCUGGACUGGUCUGUCUCCGGGACCCACCAUCACCCCUCAAUGACAAGCGAGGAACAUUCUCAACUUCAACAGGCGCAGCUGUUACAGCUGAACGUGUGAUAUGAAGAUGAAGUCCACACCUGCUCCGUCACCAUUUAGAGAAAGCUCCAAAAGUCAACGGAAGCAGUGAAUCCAUCCGAGCAGGCGGGCGGAUCCACAACGUGUGUUUACACCCUGAUUGGUGGAACCCACGCAGACACGGGGAGAAGAGAGAGUGGAACCCGGGACCUUCUUGCUGCUGACAACCGCCGUGCCGCUCAAAAAGGAG